GGCGGACGGGUGAGUAACGCGUGAGCAAUCUACCUUUAGAGUGGGGGACAACAUUCGGAAACGGAUGCUAAUACCGCAUAAGACCACAGCGGCACAUGCCGCGGGGGUCAAAGGAGAAAUCCGCUUUAAGAUGAGCUCGCGUCCCAUUAGCUAGUUGGUGAGGUAACGGCCCACCAAGGCGACGAUGGGUAGCCGACCUGAGAGGGUGAUCGGCCACACUGGAACUGAGACACGGUCCAGACUCCUACGGGAGGCAGCAGUGGGGAAUAUUGGGCAAUGGGCGAAGCCCUGACCCAGCAACGCCGCGUGAUUGAAGAAGGCUUUCGGGUUGUAAAAAUCUGUCCCUUGGGGACGAAAAAAUGACGGUACCCAAGGAGGAAGCCCCGGCUAACUACGUGCCAGCAGCCGCGGUAAUACGUAGGGGGCGAGCGUUGUCCGGAAUUACUGGGCGUAAAGGGUGCGCAGGCGGUGCUCUAAGUCAGAUGUGAAAUAUCCAUGCUUAACGUGGAGGGUGCGUUUGAAACUGGAGCACUUGAGUGCAGGAGAGGUAAAUGGGAUCCCUAGUAGCGCGGUGAAAUGCGUAGAUAUUAGGAGGAACACCAGUGGCGAAGGCGACUUACUGGACUGUAACUGACGCUGAGGCACGAAAGCGUGGGGAGCGAACGGGAUUAGAUACCCUGGUAGUCCACGC
rnacentral:rRNA from 1 species